rnacentral:misc_RNA from 1 species
UGUGGGAGUGAGCCUGCUCGCGGUAGCGGUGGUUCAGUCAAUUUAGCUGUUGAAUGACACACCGCUAGCGCGAGCAGGCUCACUCCCACC